rnacentral:rRNA from 1 species
GAGACUCUGUGCGCGUGCAUAUCAAUAAGCGGAGGAAAAGAAACUAACAAGGAUUCCCUUAGUAACGGCGAGUGAAGCGGGAAGAGCUCAAAUUUGAAAUCUUCAAGGUUUUACCUUGACGAAUUGUAGUUUAAAGAAGUGUUUUCUGUUGAAGUUUUGGUAAAAGUUCUUUGGAAUAGGACAUCAUAGAGGGUGAGAAUCCCGUAUUUGACCAUUAUUUUCAGCUGUGUGAUACACUUUCAAAGAGUCGGAUUGUUUGGGAAUGCAGUCCGAAAUGGGUGGUAAAUUUCAUCUAAAGCUAAAUAUUGGCGAGAGACCGAUAGCGAACAAGUACCGUGAGGGAAAGAUGAAAAGAACUUUGAAAAGAGAGUUAAACAGUACGUGAAAUUGUCAAAAGGGAAGCGUUUGACACCAGUGUUGUUUUUCCGAAAAUCAAUUACGAAUGGCUUGAUUUUGUGUUGUAUUGACCUUAUCAGCUUUCUUCACUUUUUUCGAGUCUUUCUUAAUGCACUUUUCGGUUAACAAGUCAACAUCAAUUUCUUUUGUUGUAAAAGAGUAUUCGGAAGGUGGCUUUCUUUUCGGAGAAAGUGUUUAUAGCCCUAUACUUCUACAAUCGGAGAGAUUGAGGUCUGCAGCGUAGAUCCUUCGGGGUUAGAUACACUUGUGCUAAGUUGUAGCUUUUCAUAGACAACUUGUUGACUAUGUUUAGUCAUGCGGCUUACUCGCUUGUGCUAUUUUACCUACGCUUAGGAUGUUGACUGAUAUGUAGUCGUA